UGCAGACCCAGGAGGAGGCAUUUGUUGCAUCCUUUUGCCCAUCAUAAUGGAAGCUCCUUGGAGACAGGCUCCACGUUCUAGUGAUUGCACCGCCUAGCAGGUUAAGCUGAGAUAAGGAACCCAGGAUGCAGAGUUUAAAUGACUCAUUUCAAGUUACAUGCUGGUAGAGCUGCGAUUAUGCAGAGGAAGCUCAGUGAAAGAGCUGAGCUCUGAAGCUACAGUCAUACCCACACACCAGGCCCAAGCCCUGGAUUUGUUCCCCCUGUGGGUUCAGCUGAUUUCAUAAGAAUGCUAAUCGUCACCUAACACCAACAGACGUCCUCUCUGGAACCGGCUCACUUGAAGACCCUGUGAUGCAUUUCUGCAAGGCUUUCUUUUAUUCCUGGUCUCCACCAACCCUGCCCUGGAUAGCCAGAUCCAAGGGAAGCAGUGAGACAGAAAGGCAGCAAAAACUAGAAUUA